UAGGGAAUCUUCGGCAAUGGACGAAAGUCUGACCGAGCAACGCCGCGUGAGUGAAGAAGGUUUUCGGAUCGUAAAACUCUGUUGUUAGAGAAGAACAAGGACGUUAGUAACUGAACGUCCCCUGACGGUAUCUAACCAGAAAGCCACGGCUAACUACGUGCCAGCAGCCGCGGUAAUACGUAGGUGGCAAGCGUUGUCCGGAUUUAUUGGGCGUAAAGCGAGCGCAGGCGGUUUCUUAAGUCUGAUGUGAAAGCCCCCGGCUCAACCGGGGAGGGUCAUUGGAAACUGGGAGACUUGAGUGCAGAAGAGGAGAGUCGAAUUCCAUGUGUAGCGGUGAAAUGCGUAGAUAUAUGGAGGAACACCAGUGGCGAAGGCGGCUCUCUGGUCUGUAACUGACGCUGAGGCUCGAAAGCGUGGGGAGCAAACAGG
rnacentral:rRNA from 1 species